GCUUAUGGUAUGCAACUUGAACAAUCUGCAUGGGCAUCAACAUUUAAACACCAACUGCAACAAGUUGGUAUGGAGUUAUUUGAUUAUAGAAGGUAAGCAUCUGUGUUAUUGUAUCUCCGAGAACCCAAAGAUACCUUGAUUCACCAUAAUCUUAGAGGUUGGAUGUGGUUGUGAGUCUUGCAUGUGUCUUUGAUUAUUGGAGAUGAUGCAAGAGAUCAAGGUUUUAAAUCUCGUGGGUUGGGGCUGCCCUCGUUUUCCUAUGGAACCGGACAUGCUAUUGUCUCAUCUUGUCCUGACACUUGGGACAAGGGAUAUUCCAAGACAUGCCAAUUGGGAUGAUGGGACAAUGGUAGGAUGGUACACUUGGGACAAGGGAUAUUCCAAGACAUGCCAAUUGGGAUGAUGGGACAAUGGUAGGAUGGUU
rnacentral:lncRNA from 1 species